CCUGGCUAUUGCCUCGCGGAACACGUGUCCCUGUGCCCAUCUGUGGGCGCGUUUGGAAGGCUGCGCUGCAGGGCAGGGCCCCAGGACCACAGGCCGGCUGUCUCGGGACCGCACCCUCCUGCAGUUCCCCACGAAACGAGGCGAGGCGGGCCAGGGCUCUGGCCAAAUAAUGACGGUGCCAGGACUAGUUAAUCGCAGGGGACAGAAGCCUCACUCUGGAGGUGCAGGAGUAGGGAGAGGCGCGCAGACCCCCCUGCGGGCCGGGGCAGGGCUCCCCAGGACACCCCGACUCCGCCCCCGCCGCACAGCCCGCAGCCCUGAGCUCACGACGCGCCGCUCCCCGGAUCUAGGCCCCAGUUCCUGGUUGGGUUCUCUGAGCCUGCUUUUGGCACAGUCUGUGAAUACUUUCUUCGUUCUGGGUCCCUGGAGGAAACGUGGUCCAGCUGAUCACGUAUAGAGGGGGUGAGGAACGCGGAGACCCCCGGCUGCUGUGGAAGAUGCCCAUGGCAGCGUCUUGCGCUUUAUUUUUACAUUUUUUUUUUUAUUAUUAUUACGCCCUGUACCCUCCCUUCCCCACCCCUCGACCCC
rnacentral:lncRNA from 1 species